rnacentral:ncRNA from 3 species
CGGGUAAACGGCGGGAGUAAC